CCUACGGGCGGCAGCAGUAGGGAAUAUUGCUCAAUGGGGGAAACCCUGAAGCAGCAACGCCGCGUGGAGGAUGAAGGUUUUCGGAUUGUAAACUCCUUUUGUUAGAGAAGAUAAUGACGGUAUCUAACGAAUAAGCACCGGCUAACUCCGUGCCAGCAGCCGCGGUAAUACGGAGGGUGCAAGCGUUACUCGGAAUCACUGGGCGUAAAGAGCGCGUAGGCGGGAUAGCAAGUCAGAUGUGAAAUCCUAUGGCUUAACCAUAGAACUGCAUUUGAAACUGUUAUUCUAGAGUAUGGGAGAGGUAGGUGGAAUUCUUGGUGUAGGGGUAAAAUGCGUAGAGAUCAAGAGGAAUACUCAUUGCGAAGGCAACCUGCUAGGACAUAACUGACGCUGAUGCGCGAAAGCGUGGGGAGCAAACAGGAUUAGAUACCCUAGUAGUC
rnacentral:rRNA from 1 species